GACGAACGCUGGCGGCGUGCUUAACACAUGCAAGUCGAACGGUGAAGCGCCUUCCUUUUUGGUGGGUGUGGAUGAGUGGCGAACGGGUGAGUAACACGUUAGUAACCUGCCCCCUUCUUCUGGAUAACCGCAUGAAAGUGUGGCUAUUACGGGAUAUUCUGGGUCUGUCGCAUGAUGGGUCUGGGCAAGAUAUUGUUUCGGUGGGUGAUGUGCUCGCGGCCUAUCAGCUUGUUGGUGGGGUGAUGGCCUACCAAGGCGGUGACGGGAAGCCGGCCUGAGAGGGUGGACGGUCACACUGGGAGUGAGACACGGCACAGACUCAUGCGAGAGGCAGCAGUGGGAAAUAUUGCACAAUGGGAGAAAGCGUGAUGCAGAGACGGCGCGUGAGAGAUGGAGGCCUUCGGGUUGUGAACCUCUUUCGCCAGUGAAGCAGGCCUGCCUCGUUUGUGGGUGGGUUGACGGUAGCUGGAAAAGAAGCGCCGGCUAAAUACGUG
rnacentral:rRNA from 1 species